rnacentral:tRNA from 1 species
AAGAAAGUGGCAGAGUGGUUAUGUAGCUGGCUUGAAACUAGCAUAUGGGGGUUCAAUUCCCUCCUUUCUCG